UACGGGGGGGGCAAGCGUUGUUCGGAAUUACUGGGCGUAAAGGGCUCGUAGGCGGCCAACUAAGUCAGACGUGAAAUCCCUCGGCUUAACCGGGGAACUGCGUCUGAUACUGGAUGGCUUGAGUUCGGGAGAGGGAUGCGGAAUUCCCGGUGUAGCGGUGAAAUGCGCAGAUAUCGGGAGGAACACCUAUGGCGAAGGCAGCUCGCUGGGACGUUACUGACGCUGAGACGCGAAAGCGUGGGGAGCAAACAGG
rnacentral:rRNA from 1 species